rnacentral:rRNA from 1 species
UGGGGAAUAUUGCACAAUGGGCGAAAGCCUGAUGCAGCAACGCCGCGUGAAGGAAGAAGGUUUUCGGAUCGUAAACUUCUAUCGAUGGGGACGAAUAAUGACGGUACCCAAGUAAGAAGCCCCGGCUAACUACGUGCCAGCAGCCGCGGUAAUACGUAGGGGGCAAGCGUUAUCCGGAAUUACUGGGUGUAAAGGGUGAGUAGGCGGUUAAAUAAGUCAUAUGUGAAACCUCGGGGCUUAACCUUGAGCGUGCAUAAGAAACUGUCUAACUAGAGUACAGGAGAGGUAAGUGGAAUUCUUAGUGUAGCGGUGAAAUGCGUAGAUAUUAAGAAGAACACCAGUGGCGAAGGCGGCUUACUGGACUGAAACUGACGCUGAAUCACGAAAGCGUGGGGAGCAAACA